ensembl:misc_RNA Metazoa_SRP Metazoan signal recognition particle RNA
GCUGGGCGCGGUGGCAGGCGCCUGUAAUCCCAGCUACUCGGGAGGCUUAGGCAGGAGAAUGGCAUGAACCCGGGAGGCGGAGCUUGCAGUGAGCCGAGAUAGCACCACUGCAGUCCGGCCGGGGAGAAAGAGCGAGACUCCGUCUCUAAAAAAAAAAAAAAAAAAAAAAGAAAAAAAAUUAAACAAAAAUUUUUUCUUUUCUGAGACGGAGUCUCGCUCUGUCACCCAGGCUGGAGUGCAGUCGCGCGAUCUCGGCUCACUGCAACCUCCACCUCUCGGGUUCAAGCGAUUCUCCUGCCUCA